CAUUUCUAGCUUGCUAGAAGAUGACGAGUGGCGGACGGGUGAGUAAUGCUUGGGAACUUGCCUUUGCGAGGGGGAUAACAGUUGGAAACGACUGCUAAUACCGCAUAAUGUCUUCGGACCAAACGGGGCUUCGGCUCCGGCGCAAAGAGAGGCCCAAGUGAGAUUAGCUAGUUGGUAAGGUAACGGCUUACCAAGGCGACGAUCUCUAGCUGUUCUGAGAGGAAGAUCAGCCACACUGGGACUGAGACACGGCCCAGACUCCUACGGGAGGCAGCAGUGGGGAAUAUUGCACAAUGGGGGAAACCCUGAUGCAGCCAUGCCGCGUGUGUGAAGAAGGCCUUCGGGUUGUAAAGCACUUUCAGUUGUGAGGAAAAGUUAGUAGCUAAUACCUGCUAGCCGUGACGUUAACAACAGAAGAAGCACCGGCUAACUCCGUGCCAGCAGCCGCGGUAAUACGGAGGGUGCGAGCGUUAAUCGGAAUUACUGGGCGUAAAGCGCACGCAGGCGGUUUGUUAAGCUAGAUGUGAAAGCCCCGGGCUCAACCUGGGAUGGUCAUUUAGAACUGGCAGACUAGAGUCUUGGAGAGGGGAGUGGAAUUCCAGGUGUAGCGGUGAAAUGCGUAGAUAUCUGGAGGAACAUCAGUGGCGAAGGCGACUCCCUGGCCAAAGACUGACGCUCAUGUGCGAAAGUGUGGGUAGCGAACAGGAUUAGAUACCCUGGUAGUCCACACCGUAAACGCUGUCUACUAGCUGUGUGUGCCUUUAAGGCGUGCGUAGCGAAGCUAACGCGCUAAGUAGACCGCCUGGGGGAGUACGGCCGCAAGGUUAAAACUCAAAUGAAUUGACGGGGGCUCCGCACAAGCGGUGGAGCAUGUGGUUUAAUUCGAUGCAACGCGAAGAAC
rnacentral:rRNA from 1 species